AAAAAAUGGAAACAAAGUCUUUGUAAAUAGGGAGAGGUAGAGGGGUUGAAGGGGGCCAGGGAAUGGGGAAAAAAUAAGAACAAAGAUUCAUCAUGUACAGGUACAAGCACCCAAUGAUGAAUGUAAAUGUAUUAUAUACAUAAAAUGUACCAAUAAAAGAUUUUUUUUUAAAAAAAGAAGAAGCAGGACAGAGGAGGGCCCUUGUAAAACUGUGCCUGAAAAAGGCCACCUUCAGUUCCUGGGUAGGCAGGUCACCCCCAUGAAGAACAGAAAAUUGCACCCUGCACCUUGAUCUGAUGGGGAGAAGGAGAUUUAUGCUUACAUCUUCCUGUGAUAUAGAAGUAAAUGAAUGAAUUAAGCAACAUGAAAUCAGUUAAACUUCCUGGAUGCUCAAGCAUAUUUCACAUGUAAAUUUCCCAGUGGGACUCAAACAUCUGGAAUCGCCCUCAGAUGCAGUGCUGGUUUUGUCCUUCUUUACUAAGGAGAGACAACCAGUUGAGCUAUCUUGCCACCAAAGGCAUUUGAAACUUUAGUUAUCAGGUUUAUCCUGAUUUUUAGUCUCAUUUGUGCAAAUCUUCCUGGGGAGGCAUCUAAGGAAGUUUUCCAUUUCCACCAGCCUCCUUCUCUUCCUCAGGGCCAAGGGUCAACACGUUCCUGGAAUAUAGACUGUCAAGUGGUGUCCACACUUGGACCUGGAGGGAAGAAGAGGAGCCCAAAGAGAACCUUCAGGCCAGCCACAGCCUUAGCCUUUAGAGAAGGGUCGUCCUCCUCUCACAGAGUGGACCUCCAGGAAAUGCUUUGCCUUUACCUAUGCUGCACAACGCUGGGGCUCUGCAGGGAUCACAACCAACUCUCCAGUCCAGGCCACCUGUCAGGUCCAAGUUCACCACAAUCAGCUUCCAAUUUGGGUCAAGUAGAACCUGACUUAGAGGAAGAAUUUGAAAAGGAUCUCAAAGCGUGUUCAUAAAGCCAGUAAAGAAGUUUCCGGCUCCUCCUUAACCCCUCUCUGAAUCUCAACCUCAGGAUCCAGGUGGUUGGGCCCUAGGUGGGUCAGUUGUGUUAUAUAAGAUAUUGUUUUGUUAUUUUUACAUUAUGUAAAUUAUGUGUCAUGUCAAAUGUCAUAAUCAAAAAGCAGAAAUUAAAAAUUAGUUUACACAAUGACCCAUAUUUAUGAGGACGAUAUUAAUGUAUGUCUAUUUCAUUCUUCCUGUCUCCUCCUGGUCUUGCCUUGCCAUGUUUACUCCAUAUUUGUCUUCUGUCUCUUCCAGUCAACUGAAGUAUCCCUUAUGGGGAUCGAACUCAGGACCUUGCACUUGCCAGGCAGGCACGGUGCCACUGAGCUACACCCCCAGCCUUUAAAGUCAAUUUAAAAUAAUAAUAAUGGAUGAUAUGUUUUCUGAGUCUCUGCAUAUCUCAGAAUGUCUUAUAUUUUUCCAUAAAUUAACAACAUAUUUUGUUGUAAUACAACUUCUAACCUUCAACUUUGACUUAAACUUGGUCCCACUAACUUUGGGCAUCUUGUUCUACAAUUCUGAAAUCUAAGUCUAGCCAGAAUUCUAUUUCUUUGUUAGUGUGUAGAUACUAAUGAGAUUUCCUCCCCCGGUAAG
rnacentral:lncRNA from 1 species